UGAGGGUGCCACCAUGCUCUCAGCGACAAAUCAUGAAUUAAUAAUUAAAAAAAGGGUCGGAUUGUGCACAUUAUUAUCCCCUUAACCAGCCCGGCCGGAGCUGUUUCCCGCUGGCUAUCGUAUAUCGGAUAAAAUAUUUAAAAAAUCGGGCGGGCUUGCGCGUGCGCGCGUGCAGCCCACCGUGCAAAGAGGGCUCGUGCUUGCUCUCAAACGCCGCACGCUCGAAAUUCCUCCAAGGAACCUCUGCGAGCUUUUCUUUUUUCAUCACGCGCGAGCUAAAAAUAGAAACGGGGUUGGAUCGUGAUCCAGAAAUAGAUAGGGGGCAUCACUCCUAUAAAAGGCAUACCAUUCAAGAGUACAGUGAGAGAAGAGAAAAGCCGGAGCAGAUUUAAUGGACAAAGAGGCUGUUUAGUCCCUUUUUAAAGCUGCUUUCCGUGUUUUUUAACAGAGGCUCUGCUGCUACAACGGCUCCCCACUCCGCACGCAAAUAUAAUACACAUUUGGAGACAGCAGCAGUGGCCAAACAACAGCUAGGUCAGCAAGUGGAAUCUACAGAGUGAGUGAGAAUACCUGUAAAAGAAUGUGAACAUAUGUUCACUAUAUUCUGUUUCUGUUUUUGUGAAAUGCUCAUUCAUCCAGGUUGUCUCUCUUUCUCUUAGACUACAUAGGCUACAACAUUUCAAUUGAUUCUUGUAACUUACCUUCAAAGUUUGUUCUUUUCUUUUUUUUUUUUUACUAGCUAUUAACAUAAAUUAUA